UCUCUGAGCACUCUUUUUCUCAAGUCCAUUAUUUUAAAUUGCUUCUGCAGGCCUUCACUUAAAAAAAAAAACAAUGCACAGAUUUACUAUUCAAGAAGGGUGAAGAUCAGCCUCCUGAAGCUAAAUUUACUUUUGCAUAUAUACGCAUAGAUCCUCACUGUGCUUAUUAUGGUGAAGAUGGACAAAGGACUUUCUGUCAGCCACAACAGAAGCAUAAUUCACAAAUGCCCUAAAAUAGUUUGAAAAGAAUGGCCCUAAGGAUCACAGGCCAGUUUAAUAUUCUUUUAGUUGCCAGGAAAUGGUUUGGAUACUAAAGGGACUAUCCUUUCCGUGUUUACUUGGCUUGAGAAUCCCAUCGCAUGCUAUGGGAUUUAUCCUGAAUAAACACGCCUAGAGUCUCUCGGGUCAUCUUGAGUUUAUCCUAACUCGCCCAACGAAAACCAAUUUCAGUCCACCCCAUCCUCUGAAACCCAGGCCACGUAUUUACGGUUGCCGCUCUAACUGGAGCCGUUCCGAAGAAUCCGGGCCGGAGAAACACGUCGCGUUAAUAACGUUCUUAAGGCCGAAUUCAGGGACGGAGCAGUGGCUCCGAUCCAGACGGACUUUCGGGGAAAAUCCGACUCUCCGGGAUUUGUCGCGUAACGAGAGGGGCGGGGCCACGCCGGGCUCAGCUCAGGGAAGUUGCUGAAGUUGGAGCGAACGAGGGCUGAGCCUGGCAAGCGCUUUGGUCGGGCGGCCGGGGCCUCGCCGUGGGCGUCUUCGGGUGGGCUUCUCCUUUCGGCUCGGGCGGUGCAUGAUGGAAGCAGCAUGGCCACUCAUUUCUCCCUGACCCAGCUGUCAAGUGCAAAUCCGGUAUAUGAAAAAUAUUAUCGUCAGGUUGAUCCUAGUAAUUCUGGAAGAGUGUUGGCUUCUGAUGCAGCUGUCUUUUUGAAACAAUCAGGACUAACAGAUUUGAUACUUGGAAAG